GGUGGCACUGCGAUUUAUUGAAAUGGAAUGCCCACAAAUACAGUUUCAAUUAAACAAAGUGUGGCAAGUUGAGGACGAAUCUCUUUUUGGGAAAAAAGUCUGCGGUAUACCUGCACCUAUACAAGAACACGGCGAGGACGACACCGUCUGCCGCUUUGAUGCUGUAGAGACAUUCAACAAGACCAGAGACUAUGUAAGCCAAUGUGUUACUGCAGAGUGCGACAUUGUUUACCAUUUGACCAGGUACGUGCACUUUCUAAGAACAUCUUCAUGUGUUUAUUGUCUUUUUCAGAAAGUUUUCAUUUUUCUGUCACUUAGCCGU